GGGCACUUGGUCUAGGGGUAUGAUUUUCGUUUCGCAUUCUGCAGGUCUUGCAAUUAUGAAAGGUCGAGGGUUCAAUUCCCUCAGUGUCCA